rnacentral:piRNA from 1 species
GGAACAGUGGUCAGCCGGCAGCAUGG